UCCCGCAACGAGCGCAACCCUUGUCAUUAGUUGCUACGAAAGGGCACUCUAAUGAGACUGCCGGUGACAAACCGGAGGAAGGUGGGGAUGACGUCAAGUCCUCAUGGCCCUUAUAGGUGGGGCUACACACGUCAUACAAUGGCUGGUACAGAGGGUUGCCAACCCGCGAGGGGGAGCUAAUCCCAUAAAACCAGUCGUAGUCCGGAUCGCAGUCUGCAACUCGACUGCGUGAAGUCGGAAUCACUAGUAAUCGCGGAUCAGAAUGUCGCGGUGAAUACGUUCCCGGGUCUUGUACACACCGCCCGUCACACCAUGGGAGCGGGUUCUGCCAGAAGUAGUUAGCCUAACCGCAAGGAGGGCGAUUACCACGGCAGGGUUCGUGAUUGGGGUGAAGGUAAUCAAGUACCAAUCG
rnacentral:rRNA from 1 species